rnacentral:rRNA from 1 species
ACCCGCACAAGCGGUGGAUGAUGUGGUUUAAUUCGAUGCAACGCGAAAACCUUACCCACCUUGACAUGGCAGGAAUCCCGAAGAGAGUUUGGGAGUGCUCGAAAGAGAACCUGCACACAGGUGCUGCAUGGCUGUCGUCAGCUCGUGUCGUGAGAUGUUGGGUUAAGUCCCGCAACGAGCGCAACCCUUGCCAUUAGUUGCUACGAAAGGGCACUCUAAUGGGACUGCCGGUGACAAACCGGAGGAAGGUGGGGAUGACGUCAAGUCCUCAUGGCCCUUAUAGGUGGGGCUACACACGUCAUACAAUGGCCGGUACAGAGGGUAGCCAACCCGCGAGGGGGAGCCAAUCCCACAAAGCCGGUCGUAGUCCGGAUCGCAGUCUGCAACUCGACUGCGUGAAGUCGGAAUCGCUAGUAAUCGCGGAUCAGCAUGUCGCGGUGAAUACGUUCCCGGGUCUU